GCCCUACGGGGCGCAGCAGUCGCGAAAACUUCGCAAUGGGGGCAACCCCGACGAGGGAAUUCCAAGUGCCAGCACUUUGUGUUGGCUGUUCUCCUGUCUAAAAAACAGGAGGAGUAAGGGGCGGGUAAGACGGGUGCCAGCCGCCGCGGUAAUACCCGCGCCCCUAGUGGUGGUCGAUAUUAUUGAGCCUAAAACGUCCGUAGCCGGUCUUUUAAAUCCUUGGGUAAAUCGGGCAGCUUAACUGUCCGAAGUCCGGGGAGACUGGGAGACUUGGGACCGGGAGAGGUCAGAGGUACUUCUGGGGUAGGGGUAAAAUCCUGUAAUCCUGGAAGGACCACCGGUGGCGAAGGCGUCUGACUAGAACGGAUCCGACGGUGAGGGACGAAGCCCUGGGGCGCAAACGGGAUUAGAUACCCCGGUAGUCCAGGGUGUAAACGCCGCGGGCUUGGUGUUGGGGGUCCUUAGUGGGCGCCCAGUGCCGGAGAGAAGUUGUUAAGCCUGCUGCUUGGGGAGUAUGUCCGCAAGGAUGAAACUUAAAGGAAUUGGCGGGGGAGCACCGCAACGGGAGGAGCGUGCGGUUCAAUUGGAUUCAACGCCGAAAAACUCACCA
rnacentral:rRNA from 1 species